GACGAACGCUGGCGGCGUGCCUAAUACAUGCAAGUCGAACGCAGUGGGGACGGGUGAGUAACACGUGGGUAACCUCCCAUCAGAGGGGAUAACACUGGGAAACAGGUGCUAAACCGAUACUGAUGGAUGGACCCGCGGUGCAUUAGCUAUGUGGUGAGGUAACGGCUCACAAAGGCAACGAUGCAUAGACGACCUGUGAGUGUGAUCGGCCACACUGUGACUGAGACAAGGCCCAUGCUCCUUCGGGAGGCAGCAGUAGGGAAUCUUAGGAAAUGGACUAAAGUCUGACCGAGCAACGCCGCGUGAGUGAAGAAGGUUUUCGGAUCGUAAAACUCUGUUGUUAGAUAAGCGGUAUCUAACCAGAAAGCCACGGCUAACUACGUGCCAGCAGCCGCGGUAAUAC
rnacentral:rRNA from 1 species